AGCGCACACACACUUCUGUGCGUGUGGAACGGUCUCACCCAGACGACCCCCCUCCCCCAAAGGAAAUCGAGAUAUUCCUCUAGGGCUAGAGGGGACAACUGGUUUUGUGGGACAGGAGGAAGGAAAACGGCGACAGACAGCACUCCCUGUCACUUCUAAAAGAGAAGAGGGACAGGUUCCUUCACACCUAGCAAAGAUCCUCCGAUUCUGGAAGCAGGGGGAGCGGAACUUAGGGUACCUCUCUCCCACAACUAGAAUGGACAGGCCAGAGGACAGUCAUAGCGGUUUCCUUAAGGCUCACCAAAGGCAGCCGCUCCGGAUCCGGAUCUCCACCUCCGCCCCGCCCCUCAAUACUCCCAGGUGAUUGACAGUGCGGAGACCAAUGGGAGGCACUCUUGGCCGACCUACCCAGCGGCGCCGGGGCGUCUGUGAUUGGGAAGGUGAGGAAAGCGCUGCAGGAAGAGUUCUCUGCAGGAUGCUGGGUGAGAUCAAAGGGAGAGCUUCUGCCACCACCUCCUACUUGGUGUGUGCGGGGGCCGGCACAAAGACCAUCUCUGCCUCUGCCUUCCCCUGCUCCUAGCCAGGGUCAGCUCUUCUCUCUGACGCGGAAUACAGAGCUGGACAA
rnacentral:lncRNA from 1 species